GCAAGUCGAGCGGUAACAUUUCUAGCUUGCUAGAAGAUGACGAGCGGCGGACGGGUGAGUAAUGCUUGGGAAUAUGCCUUAGGGUGGGGGACAACAGUUGGAAACGACUGCUAAUACCGCAUAACGUCUACGGACCAAAGGGGGCUUCGGCUCUCGCCCUUAGAUUAGCCCAAGUGGGAUUAGCUAGUUGGUGAGGUAAUGGCUCACCAAGGCGACGAUCCCUAGCUGGUUUGAGAGGAUGAUCAGCCACACUGGAACUGAGACACGGUCCAGACUCCUACGGGAGGCAGCAGUGGGGAAUAUUGCACAAUGGGCGCAAGCCUGAUGCAGCCAUGCCGCGUGUGUGAAGAAGGCCUUAGGGUUGUAAAGCACUUUCAGUAAGGAGGAAAGGUUAGUAGUUAAUACCUGCUAGCUGUGACGUUACUUACAGAAGAAGCACCGGCUAACUCCGUGCCAGCAGCCGCGGUAAUACGGAGGGUGCGAGCGUUAAUCGGAAUUACUGGGCGUAAAGCGUACGCAGGCGGUUUGUUAAGCGAGAUGUGAAAGCCCCGGGCUCAACCUGGGAACUGCAUUUCGAACUGGCAAACUAGAGUAUGAUAGAGGGUGGUAGAAUUUCAGGUGUAGCGGUGAAAUGCGUAGAGAUCUGAAGGAAUACCGAUGGCGAAGGCAGCCACCUGGGUCAAUACUGACGCUCAUGUACGAAAGCGUGGGGAGCAAACGGGAUUAGAUACCCCGGUAGUCCACGCCGUAAACGAUGUCUACUAGGAGCUGGGGUCUUCGGACAACUUUUCCAAAGCUAACGCAUUAAGUAGACCGCCUGGGGAGUACGGCCGCAAGGUUAAAACUCAAAUGAAUUGACGGGGGCCCGCACAAGCGGUGGAGCAUGUGGUUUAAUUCGAUGCAACGCGAAGAACCUUACCUACACUUGACAUACAGAGAACUUACCAG
rnacentral:rRNA from 1 species